UUAUAGGUGGAUGAAACUUUAUGAAUGCUUGUAUACCCUGGUCACUUCAAAACCGAACUUAUACCAUGUCAUUUCACCUUUAGAAGUUUACGCCCUUGAUAUGAGUCCUCAACGUUACUUGCUCAUAGAACAUCACUCGCGGUAUGACUCCCUUUAAUUUUUUUAAAUAUUUUCACUAACAAUGUAUUUUAGGCUUUUCGAUAACUGAGGCAAAUUUCACAAGUCGGGGGCGAAGAUCACUUGCUCUUUGUGCACUAGGCAAAAGAAUAAGUAGCCUUUUUAUCUUUUUCUUUUUAGAUACAACCUCCUAAAUGGCUAAUCAAGGAAGGCUUUUGUGGAGAAUUUUAAAUACAAAGUGUUUUUUUAGUUAAUUAACUUUAUUUUACUAUAGAUUUUUAUUAUUGUAGUCGAUUUUGGUCAAACGAGCUAAAAGUCCCCCAAACGAUUGUUCGUCUGACGGUAUGUUUGCUCUAAAAAGAUUAUGCAUAUGUUUUGCCUACCGUUUA